CGGAGGAUCCAAGCGUUAUCCGGAAUCAUUGGGUUUAAAGGGUCCGUAGGCGGUUUGGUAAGUCAGUGGUGAAAGCCCAUCGCUCAGCGGUGGAACGGCCAUUGAUACUGCCAGACUUGAAUUAUUAGGAAGUAACUAGAAUAUGUAGUGUAGCGGUGAAAUGCUUAGAGAUUACAUGGAAUACCAAUUGCGAAGGCAGGUUACUACUAAUGGAUUGACGCUGAUGGACGAAAGCGUGGGUAGCGAACAGGAUU
rnacentral:rRNA from 1 species